AAGCCCACCCCACCCACACGGCCGGACAGCCCCAUCUCUUUGACACACCAGAUGGCUUGACCACGUCUCCUCAAAAGCAGACAGAGCUCCCAUUCCCAGAGACCCCCACAACACUGUUAGACUCUAGUGCACUACGCGCCAGGGUCAGUUUAAACAAGAAGAGCACUCGCAGAGCCCCGCCCUCUCGAGCCAACCGUCACAGUGCCCUCUUAUCACAAGUACCCGAGGGAACUGGAGCAGAUGAUGAAUGGCGCUACAAGGACUCAACAGAGGAGAAGACAGGCUCUUCUAAGCAGGGUGAGGAGUCAGACUCUGAGGAGCAGGCCAAGGGAAUCUGAAUCCCGU